ACUGCACCUUUUUUCCUUUCUAUUUUCCGUGUUGUUCUUCUCCUAUCUCUAAUAGUCUUGUUCACGAAUAUUCAAUACCUUCUCUGCUGAAAUUCCCCUCUUCUUUAUUCUCUGUCAACACAACUUCCAUGGAACAAAGCCAUCUCACUAGCUACCACCACGUGACUCUAGAGCCUUCACUUGCCUCACUCCAACUUCUCUAAGUGGAGUGAACUCUUCAUUAUUCGUUCGCACAUUGUUGCAGCUCAGAGAAAGAAAGAAAAAAAACGACAAGGGGUGCGGAGCGAAAGUGCUGGGGAAUCAGUUCUGAAAAUCCAAUUGGAAUUACGUUGAUUCAUGUCAUGGUUAUGUUGAAAAUCGUUACUACUCUUGUAUUGGUGGUAGUAAUGAUAGCGUAGCUUCAUGUCGACAUUAUUCACAAGAUCAUAAACAAAGAUUGAGAUUGAAGAUGUUGUCCUCACUAGGAGUAAACGUAUGAAAGAUAUAAAAACUAGUAGAUGAAUGAUGAAAAAGCUUGUAAACAAAAUGUCUAAGUUGAUGUAUGAGUAUUUGUCUAUAUUCUUUACACUUA